rnacentral:rRNA from 1 species
GAUGAACGCUGGCGGCGUGCCUAAUACAUGCAAGUCGAGCGAACAGACGAGGAGCUUGCUCCUCUUACGUUAGCGGCGGACGGGGGAGUAACACGUGGAUAACCUACCUAUAAGACUGGGAGAACUUCGGGAAACCGGAGCUAAUACCGGAUAAUAUAUUGAACCGCAUGGUUCAAUAGUGAAAGACGGUUUUGCUGUCACUUAUAGAUGGAUCCGCGCCGCAUUAGCUAGUUGGUAAGGUAACGGCUUACCAAGGCAACGAUGCGUAGCCGACCUGAGAGGGUGAUCGGCAACACUGGAACGGAGCCACGGUCCAGACUCCUACGGGAGGCAGCAGUAGGGAAUCUUCGGAAAUGGGCGAAAGCCUGACGGAGCACCGCCGCGUGAGUGAUGAAGCUCUUCGGAUCGUAAAACUCUGUUAUUAGGGAAGAACAAAUGUGUAAGUAACUAUGCACGUAUUGACGGUACCUAAUCAGAAAGCCACGGCUAACUACGUG